rnacentral:rRNA from 1 species
GAUGAAAGCUAGCGAUAGGCUUAACACAUGCAAGUCGAGGGGCAGCAUGGUCUUAGCUUGCUAAGACUGAUGGCGACCGGCGCACGGGUGCGUAACGCGUAUGCAACUUGCCUCACAGAGGGGGAUAACCCGUCGAAAGACGGACUAAUACCGCGUACACUUGGAGGGAGGCAUCUCCCAUCAAGGAAAGGAAAUUCGCUGUGAGAUAGGCAUGCGUCCCAUUAGCUAGUUGGUGAGGUAACGGCUCACCAAGGCAACGAUGGGUAGGGGAACUGAGAGGUUGAACCCCCACACUGGUACUGAGACACGGACCAGACUCCUACGGGAGGCAGCAGUGAGGAAUAUUGGUCAAUGGGCGAGAGCCUGAACCAGCCAAGUCGCGUGAAGGAUGACUGUCUUAUGGAUUGUAAACUUCUUUUGUAGGGGAAUAAAGAACGGUACGUGUACCGUAGUGAAUGUACCCUACGAAUAAGCAUCGGCUAACUCCGUGCCAGCCGCCGCAGUAA